AUUGAACGCUGGCGGCAUGCCUCACACAUGCAAGUCGAACGGCAGCACGGGAGCAAUCCUGGUGGCGAGUGGCGAACGGGUGAGUAAAGUAUCGGAACGUGCCCAGUCGUGGGGGAUAACGUAGCGAAAGUUACGCUAAUACCGCAUACGAUCUAUGGAUGAAAGCGGGGGAUCGCAAGACCUCGCGCGAUUGGAGCGGCCGAUAUCAGAUUAGGUAGUUGGUGGGGUAAAGGCUCACCAAGCCGACGAUCUGUAGCUGGUCUGAGAGGACGACCAGCCACACUGGGACUGGGACCCGGCCCAGACUCCUACGGGAGGCAGCAGUGGGGAAUUUUGGACAAUGGGCGCAAGCCUGAUCCAGCCAUGCCGCGUGCAGGAUGAAGGCCUUCGGGUUGUAAACUGCUUUUGUACGGAACGAAAAGGUUUGGCUUAAUACGUUGAACUCAUGACGGUACCGUAAGAAUAAGCACCGGCUAACUACGUGCCAGCAGCCGCAGUAA
rnacentral:rRNA from 1 species